ensembl:lncRNA
UUUUUCUCCAUUUACUCGUGGCCAUCUGGUUUUCUCCUAUUGUCCAUGAUACUCUUACAUAUCAUGCUUUGGAUCAAAAAGUGUAGCUACCAUGGUAGCCUUCUCAGACAUGGCCUGUAAAGUAGCUCUGAACCUAAGAGCGAUAGAACCCUGGACAAGUUCAUUAACCUCUGAGACUUCCUGCCUCAACUCUUAAAGGGUGGAGAGCUAUAACAACCACCUGUCAAGAUGAGGAGUCAGCCAGGACUGCAGGACAGAUGGGUCAACACAAGCAGACUGAGGCAAGCACGGUGCAUGAAGAAGCUUUUCCCAUUUUCCAUUUCUUCCUUUUAUAACUUUUAACCUCUUAACAUUUAAACUUUUCCCAUGAUUCUUGUUCCUGUGGCUAGUUCUUUUCUUGUUAUUAU